GACGAACGCUGGCGGCGUGCCUAAUACAUGCAAGUAGAACGCUGAAGAGAGGAGCUUGCUCUUCUUGGAUGAGUUGCGAACGGGUGAGUAACGCGUAGGUAACCUGCCUUGUAGCGGGGGAUAACUAUUGGAAACGAUAGCUAAUACCGCAUAACAAUGGAUGACACAUGUCAUUUAUUUGAAAGGGGCAAUUGCUCCACUACAAGAUGGACCUGCGUUGUAUUAGCUAGUAGGUGAGGUAAUGGCUCACCUAGGCGACGACACAUAGCCGACCUGAGAGGGUGAUCGGCCACACUGGGACUGAGACACGGCCCAGACUCCUACGGGAGGCAGCAGUAGGGAAUCUUCGGCAAUGGGGGCAACCCUGACCGAGCAACGCCGCGUGAGUGAAGAAGGUUUUCGGAUCGUAAAGCUCUGUUGUAAGUCAAGAACGGGUGUGAGAGUGGAAAGUUCACACUGUGACGGUAGCUUACCAGAAAGGGACGGCUAACUACGUG
rnacentral:rRNA from 1 species